GCAUGAAACAGACGACCAUUUCACUCAUUUCUUUGCCCUGAAGAAUAUAUCAUUUUGUGGAUUUCACCCUCGAAACGAAAGGUAUUUUGGGUUCAUCACAAAACAUCCAUCGUCUUAUCGAUUCGCAUGUCAUGUAUUUCUGGGCGAGAAAUCGACGAGAUCUGUCUCGGAUGCUCUCGGGGAUGCAUUUAAGAGAUUCUAUCAGGAGUAUAUGGCAUUUACCCACCCUACUGAAGACAUUUAUAUGGAAUAAUGAAGUUAUAAUCAAAUCAUGUGAUGAACUGGCGUAGGCGGGGCUUAAUCUUCAUGUCACGUGAUGAACCAGGCGUGGCCCAAUCUUCAUGUCGCGUGAUGAAUUGGAGCAGACGGGGCUCAAUCUUCAUAUCACGUGAUGAACCGGAGUGACUCAAUCUUUAUGUCACGUGAUGAACUGGAGUAGGCGGGGCUCAUUCUUCAUAUCACGUGAUAAAUCAUUGAUCAUUAUAAUUCACGUGAUAAAAACCAGAUAGCAUAAUCAUAAAUCAGCAACAUUACCAUAACGAGUAUAACAUCGCCUAUACUGAUAUUAAAAAUGGCUCCGGGAAUUUUUUUUGCUCUAAUCCAAGAAAUACCAAUCCAGUACAGACAUACCAAUGAACAGCAUAUCGGUCAUUUUAAUGUAGGUUUAAAAUUUUGCCGAAAAGAAUCUUCAGAAAUCUGAUUGAGGACGUCUCCAUGUAGUUCUGAUACAAUACAUCUACAUUUGAAAUUCCUAUAGCCAAGAACCAAGUGCUCUAACAGUGAGGGAUAAAAACAAUGGUAAAUAUAGAAGCUGGCUGUCUUCUGACAAAGAGAACUCCACCCUGACGUGCAGUUAAAGGAGCAGUCUACAAAUCCAGUUACAUAACCUGGAGUGUCAAUCCAGAUCAAUUCAUGUCGCGAUAUACAGUUUAUGUCUGAUGAUAAGUUAUAUGUCAAGUGUAUAAAUACAACCAAUCAACAUGGAAGUAAAACAUUAUAAGUGUUCAAUUAAAAACAACCGGUAAAGUCUCAGUAUUACAUAAUUAUAUCACUUACAGAAGUGAAUUAUUUUCAUUAAACUAUCAAACCAUAUUUUUGUAAUGUGUCAUAAAACUGACAUGAAUAAACGAUAGUUGGAAACGUGUGAUAAUUUGCAAAAAGGACAAGGUCUGUUUUGCAUAAAUUAUCCCACGUUUCCAACUAUUGUUGAUGUCCUUGGCAUGCCCAACAAACUAAACAGUGAUUCCUUUCAUUUUUCACUUCAU